GAGAUGUGCUUGCAUAGCAUUUAACUUGAUCUGAAAUCGUAUGCUGAAACAACAACAAUUGCAGCAUGGAAGAUGUUGGUAAACUAUUUACGAACACAAAUACCGUUAGUUUCACUUUAACAUUAAAACUUCAUUUGUGUCAUCAUAUUUUCUUCUCUUUAAAACCGUGACCUCUUCACUGACAAGACUUCACAAAAGUGAUGUAGCACGAAGUUUAGUCAUUGAAAAGUGCGUGC